AUUGAACGCUGGCGGCAUGCUUUACACAUGCAAGUCGAACGGUAACAGGUUAAGCUGACGAGUGGCGAACGGGUGAGUAAUGCAUCGGAACGUGCCCGAUCGUGGGGGAUAACGCAGCGAAAGCUGCGCUAAUACCGCAUACGAUCUGAGGAUGAAAGCGGGGGACCGUAAGGCCUCGCGCGAUCGGAGCGGCCGAUGUCAGAUUAGGUAGUUGGUGGGGUAAAGGCUCACCAAGCCAACGAUCUGUAGCUGGUCUGAGAGGACGACCAGCCACACUGGGGCUGAGACACGGCCCAGACUCCUACGGGAGGCAGCAGUGGGGAAUUUUGGACAAUGGGCGAAAGCCUGAUCCAGCAAUGCCGCGUGCAGGAAGAAGGCCUUCGGGUUGUAAACUGCUUUUGUACGGAGCGAAAAGGUCUCCUCUAAUACAGGGGGCUCAUGACGGUACCGUAAGAAUAAGCACCGGCUAACUACGUGCCAGCAGCCGCAGUAA
rnacentral:rRNA from 1 species